rnacentral:rRNA from 1 species
UACGAAGGGGGCUAGCGUUGCUCGGAAUCACUGGGCGUAAAGGGUGCGUAGGCGGGUCUUUAAGUCAGGGGUGAAAUCCUGGAGCUCAACUCCAGAACUGCCUUUGAUACUGAAGAUCUUGAGUUCGGGAGAGGUGAGUGGAACUGCGAGUGUAGAGGUGAAAUUCGUAGAUAUUGGGAAGAACACCAGUGGCGAAGGCGGCUCACUGGACCGGCAUUGACGCUGAUGUGCGAAAGCGUGGGGAGCAAACAGG